rnacentral:rRNA from 1 species
UACGAAGGGGGCUAGCGUUGCUCGGAAUUAUUGGGCGUAAAGGGUGCGUAGGCGGUUUGAUAAGUUUGAUGUGAAAUCUCUGGGCUCAACCCAGAGUCUGCAUCGAAAACUGUCGGGCUUGAGUAUGGGAGAGGUGAGUGGAAUUUCCGGUGUAGCGGUGAAAUGCAUAGAUAUCGGAAGGAACACCUGUGGCGAAAGCGGCUCACUG